rnacentral:rRNA from 1 species
UACGUAGGCAGCGAGCGUUGUUCGGAGUUACUGGGCGUAAAGCGUGCGUAGACGGUUAUUUAAGUCGGGUGUGAAAGCCCCGGGCUCAACCUGGGAAUUGCAUUCGAGACUGAAUAGCUAGGGUGCGGAAGAGGGAAGCGGAAUUUCCGGUGUAGCGGUGAAAUGCGUAGAUAUCGGGAGGAACACCAGUGGCGAAGGCGACUACCUGGCCUGUUCUUGACGCUGAGGCGCGAAAGCUAGGGGAGCAAACGGGG